rnacentral:rRNA from 1 species
CAGCAGCCGCGGUAAUACGGAAGGUCCAAGCGUUAAUCGGAAUUUCUGGGCGUAAAGCGCGCGUAGGUGGUUUAUUAAGUUGGAUGUGAAAUCCCCGGGCUCAACCUGGGAACUGCAUUCAAAACUGGUUCACUAGAGUACGAUAGAGGGAGGUAGAAUUCACAGUGUAGCGGUGGAAUGCGUAGAUAUUGUGAAGAAUACCAAUGGCGAAGGCAGCCUCCUGGAUCUGUACUGACACUGAGGUGCGAAAGCGUGGGUAGCGAACAGGAUUAGAUACCCUGGUAGUCCACGCCGUAAACGAUGUCAACUAGCUGUUGGAAAGCAUUGCUUUUCAGUGGCGCAGCUAACGUADUAAGUUGACCGCCUGGGGAGUACSGCCGCMAGGUUAAAACUCAGAGGARUUGGCGG